rnacentral:rRNA from 1 species
GACGAACGCUGGCGGCGUGCUUAACACAUGCAAGUCGAACGGAAAGGCCCUGCUUUUGUGGGGUGCUCGAGUGGCGAACGGGUGAGUAACACGUGAGUAACCUGCCCUUGACUUUGGGAUAACUUCAGGAAACUGGGGCUAAUACCGGAUAGGAGCUCCUGCUGCAUGGUGGGGGUUGGAAAGUUUCGGCGGUUGGGGAUGGACUCGCGGCUUAUCAGCUUGUUGGUGGGGUAGUGGCUUACCAAGGCUUUGACGGGUAGCCGGCCUGAGAGGGUGACCGGCCACAUGGGGACUGAGAUACGGCCCAGACUCCUACGGGAGGCAGCAGUGGGGAAUAUUGCACAAUGGGCGGAAGCCUGAUGCAGCAACGCCGCGUGCGGGAGGACGGCCUUCGGGUUGUAAACCGCUUUCGCCUGCGACGAAGCGUGAGUGACGGUAAUGGGGAAAGAAGCACCGGCUAACUACGU